rnacentral:rRNA from 1 species
GGAAUUACUUGGGCGUAAAGCGUUCGUAGGCGGUUAUUUAAGUUAGAUGUGAAAGCCCCGGGCUUAACCUGGGAACUGCAUUUAAAACUGGGUAACUCGAGUUUAGGAGAGGGAAGUGGAAUUUCAGGUGUAGCGGUGAAAUGCGUAGAGAUCUGAAGGAACACCAGUGGCGAAGGCGACUUCCUGGACUAAAACUGACGCUGAGGAACGAAAGCGUGGGUAGCAAACGGGAUUAGAUACCCCGGUAGUCCACGCCGUAAACGAUGUCAACUAGCCGUUGGGCCUAUAUACAGGUUUAGUGGCGGAGCUAACGUAUUAAGUUGACCGCCUGGGGAGUACGGCCGCAAGGUUAAAACUCAAAUGAAUUGACGGGGGCCCGCACAAGCGGUGGAGCAUGUGGUUUAAUUCGAUGCAACGCGAAGAACCUUACCUACCCUUGACAUCCAGAGAAUCUGUUAGAGAUAGUAGAGUGCCUUCGGGAACUCUGAGACAGGUGCUGCAUGGCUGUCGUCAGCUCGUGUCGUGAGAUGUUGGGUUAAGUCCCGUAACGAGCGCAACCCUUAUCCUUAGUUGCUAGCAGGUAAUGCUGAGAACUCUAAGGAGACUGCCGGUGAUAAACCGGAGGU